rnacentral:rRNA from 1 species
AAAUUGAAGAGUUUGAUCAUGGCUCAGAUUGAACGCUGGCGGCAGGCCUAACACAUGCAAGUCGAACGGUAACAGGAAGCAGCUUGCUGCUUCGCUGACGAGUGGCGGACGGGUGAGUAAUGUCUGGGAAACUGCCUGAUGGAGGGGGAUAACUACUGGAAACGGUGGCUAAUACCGCAUAACGUCGCAAGACCAAAGAGGGGGACUUUCGGGCCUCUUGCCAUCAGAUGUGCCCAGAUGGGAUUAGCUUGUUGGUGAGGUAACGGCUCACCAAGGCGACGAUCCCUAGCUGGUCUGAGAGGAUGACCAGCCACACUGGAACUGAGACACGGUCCAGACUCCUACGGGAGGCAGCAGUGGGGAAUAUUGCACAAUGGGCGCAAGCCUGAUGCAGCCAUGCCGCGUGUAUGAAGAAGGCCUUCGGGUUGUAAAGUACUUUCAGCGGGGAGGAAGGUGUUG